AAGUCGUAACAAGGUUUCCGUAGGUGAACCUGCGGAAGGAUCAUUAACAAUUUUCCAAAAUCAAUGACAUCUUUGUGCCGAUUCCAAAGGCCGGAUGUUAUACCCCACAUUUUGUGACGAACUUGUUUUAUAACUUGAAAAAUUGCUGGAUGCGGUUCGAAGUUUCGGCUCCUACCGCAUUUAAGCUUUUUUCAUUUUUUCUCUUUUCUUAAUACCAAAACCCAAUGAAACCUUUAUUGACUGAAACAAGUCAACGGUUCUAACGAACGGUUGAUGAAACUCGAAUGAGAAAAACAACUCUUAACAACGGAUAUCUUGGCUCUC
rnacentral:misc_RNA from 1 species